rnacentral:rRNA from 1 species
UACGUAGGGGGCGAGCGUUGUCCGGAAUCAUUGGGCGUAAAGAGCGUGUAGGCGGCUUGGCAAGUCUGACGUGAAAGCCCGCGGCUCAACCGCGGAUUGUCGUUGGAAACUGCCUCGCUAGAGUCCGGAAGAGGAGAGCGGAAUUCCGUGGUGUAGCGGUGGAAUGCGCAGAUAUCAGGAAGAACACCCGUGGCGAAGGCGGCUCUCUGGGACGGUACUGACGCUGAGACGCGAAAGCGUGGGGAGCGAACAGG